rnacentral:rRNA from 1 species
CCUACGGGAGGCCGCAGUGAGGAAUAUUGGUCAAUGGACGAGAGUCUGAACCAGCCAAGUAGCGUGAAGGAUGACUGCCCUAUGGGUUGUAAACUUCUUUUAUAUGGGAAUAAAAUGUUCCACGUGUGGGCUUUUGUAUGUACCAUAUGAAUAAGGAUCGGCUAACUCCGUGCCAGCAGCCGCGGUAAUACGGAGGAACCGAGCGUUAUCCGGAUUUAUUGGGUUUAAAGGGAGCGUAGGUGGAUUGUUAAGUCAGUUGUGAAAGUUUGCGGCUCAACCGUAAAAUUGCAGUUGAAACUGGCAGUCUUGAGUACAGUAGAGGUGGGCGGAAUUCGUGGUGUAGCGGUGAAAUGCUUAGAUAUCACGAAGAACUCCGAUUGCGAAGGCAGCUCACUGGACUGCAACUGACACUGAGGCUCGAAAGUGUGGGUAUCAAACAGGAUUAGAUACCCGGGUAGUC